rnacentral:rRNA from 1 species
UGCCAGCAGCCGCGGUAAUACGGAGGGUGCGAGCGUUAAUCGGAAUUACUGGGCGUAAAGCGCGCGUAGGUGGUUUGAUAAGCUAGCUGCGAAAUCCCGGGGCUCAACCCCGGAACUGCCUCCAAAACUGCCAGUCUAGAGUUCGAGAGAGGUGAGUGGAACUCCAAGUGUAGAGGUGAAAUUCGUAGAUAUUUGGAAGAACACCAGUGGCGAAGGCGGCUCGCUGGCUCGAUACUGACGCUGAGGUGCGAAAGUGUGGGGAGCAAACAGGAUUAGAUA